AUACGGAGGGUGCAAGCGUUGUUCGGAAUCACUGGGCGUAAAGGGCGCGCAGGCGGUUUGGUAAGUCAGAUGUGAAAGCCCACGGCUCAACCGUGGAAGUGCAUUUGAAACUGCCAGACUUGAGUACCAGAGGGGAAAGUGGAAUUCCCGGUGUAGAGGUGAAAUUCGUAAAUAUCGGGAGGAAUACCGGUGGCGAAGGCGACUUUCUGGCUGGAUACUGACGCUGAGGCGCGAAAGCGUGGGGAGCAAACAGGAUUAGAAACCCUAGUAGUCC
rnacentral:rRNA from 1 species